rnacentral:rRNA from 1 species
GGUGAACGCUGGCGGCGUGCUUAAGACAUGCAAGUCGAACGGCAGUCUUCGGACUGUAGUGGCGCACGGGUGAGUAACGCGUAACUGACCUACCCCAAAGUCGCGGAUAACGAUUCGAAAGAAUCGCUAAUACGUGAUGUGCUGUCAGAUUGUGUUCUGCCAGUAAAGAUUGAUUGCUUUGGGAUGGGGUUGCGUUCCAUCAGCUAGUUGGUGGGGUAAAGGCCCACCAAGGCGACGACGGAUAGCCGGCCUGAGAGGGUGGCCGGCCACAGGGGCACUGAGACACGGGUCCCACUCCUACGGGAGGCAGCAGUUAGGAAUCUUCCACAAUGGGCGAAAGCCUGAUGGAGCGACGCCGCGUGAGGGAUGAAGGUCUUCGGAUCGUAAACCUCUGAAUCAGGGGUGAAAGACACUUCGGUGGGAUGACGGUACCUGAGUAAUAGCACCGGCUAACUCCGUGCCAGCCGCCGCAGUAAUAC